rfam:Triticum aestivum genome assembly, contig: Triticum_aestivum_CS42_TGACv1_scaffold_032239_1BL
AAAGUACUCCCUCCGUCCGGAAAUACUUGUCAUUGAAACGGAUGUAUCUAGAUGUAUUUUAGUUCUAGCUACAUCCAUUUUCAUCCAUUUUGAUGACAAGUAAUUCGGGACGGAGGGAGUACUAG